GAUGAACACUAGCGGCAGGCCUAAUACAUGCAAGUCGAACGGUGUCUUCGGACAUAGUGGCGCACGGGUGCGUAACACGUAUGCAACCUACCUUACAUUGGGGGAUAGCCUUUCGAAAGGGAGAUUAAUACCGCAUAAGACAGUAGCUGGGCAUCCAGCAGCUGUUAAAGAUUUAUCGAUGUAAGCUGGGCAUGCGUCCAAUUAGCUAGUUGGUGAGCAAACGGCUCACCAAGGCAAUGAUUGGUAGGGGAACUGAGAGGUCAAUCCCCCACACUGGCACUGAGAUACGGGCCAGACUCCUACGGGAGGCAGCAGUAGGGAAUAUUGGGCAAUGGACGCAAGUCUGACCCAGCCAUGCCGCGUGCAGGAUGAAGGCGUUAUGCGUUGUAAACUGCUUUUAUACAGGAAGAAACGACUCUUGCGAGAGGCAUUGACGGUACUGUAUGAAUAAGCACCGGCUAACUCCGUGCCAGCCGCCGCCGUAAAAC
rnacentral:rRNA from 1 species